AAAGCAUUUUGCAUGAUUUCAUGCUCAGUGAGAGAAUUUUGUGGAAAAUAUUCCUGUGGCUUUUAUAAGUAAAAUAGUAUCAGAGGUCUGGGGCUGUAGCUCAGUGGCAGAGCACUUGACUAGCACAUGUGAGGCACUGCGUUUGAUCCUCAGCACCACAUAAAAAAAUAAAUAAAAUAAAGGCAUACUUUGCAUAUAUAACUACAAAAAUUUUUAAAAAUAGUAUUAGAAACUCUUUUAUAUAUUUUAAUAAAAAUAUAUCUUAUAUUUUGAUGAAUUUUAGCAGUUCCAUCUAUACACACCUGAUAUUCUUUGAGGACAUUUGAGAGGAAAACAUACCCUCAGGAAUUUGAAAAAACCUGUUGGUGUAUUUAUAUAAGUAUCAUUUUUAAAUAUCUCUUAAUUUAAAUAAUUUCUCUAUGAAUUACUAUUUCAACACCAACACUGUUUGAAUUUGACAGUAGGACAAAGAGUUGUCAGAAUCUAUAUUUGUGGUAAAGCCCUGGAAAUUACUACUGUCAGCAAAUUUAAACAGAUUGUGAUAUAAAAGGAAAAAGUUUCUUUGAUUUUUACAGAACUACUAUGCUUUAAAGUGAUUUCUACAGUUGAAAAAUGUGUAUUGAGGACUGAGGUGUGGCUCA
rnacentral:lncRNA from 1 species